AUUGAACGCUGGCGGCAGGCCUAACACAUGCAAGGCGGGCGAGCGGCGGGCGGGUGAGUAAUGUAUGGGGAUCUGCCUGAUGGCGGGGGAUAACUACUGGAAACGGUAGCUAAUACCGCAUACAAUCAGAUGAACCCAUAGGGGAUUAGCUAGUAGGUAAGGGAACGGCUUACCUAGGCGACGAUCCCUAGCUGGUCUGAUAGGAUGAUCAGCCACACUGGGACUGAUACACGGCCCAGACUCCUACGGGAGGGAGCAGUGGGGAAUAUUGCACAAUGGGCGCAAGCCUGAUGCAGCCAUGCCGCGUGUAUGAAGAAGGCCUUCGGGUUGUAAAGUACUUUCAGUCGGGAGGCGGUACCGACAGAAGAAGCACCGGCUAACUCCGUGCCAGCAGCCGCGGUAAUAC
rnacentral:rRNA from 1 species